rnacentral:rRNA from 1 species
UACGGAGGGAGCAAGCGUUACUCGGAAUUAUUGGGCGUAAAGGGCGCGUAGGCGAUCUGACAAGUUCUGUGUGAAAGCCCACAUGUUAACUGUGGAAGUGCACCGAAAACUGUUGGAUUUGAGUUCAGGAGAGGAAGGCAGAAUUCCCGGUGUAGCGGUGAAAUGCGUAGAGAUCGGGAGGAAUACCAGUGGCGAAAGGCGAGCCUC